GCCACUGCCAAAGAACUCCAGAUCCAUGUGCAACCCUGUACAUCUGGCUUUAUGAAGUUCCUUAGCGCUUUGCUCCAGCCUGGACGCUGACCAUUGAGAAGUAGAUGCCUUUCUGUGCCAGCAACUGUUGGUGGGUGCCAUGCUCCUUGACCUUGCCAUUCUGAAUCACCACGAUUAGGUCUGCAUUUUGGAUGGUGGACAGACGAGUAAUGUGUGCCAUCCUACAGUGCGAAGAGGAAGAGAAUAUGCUCCUGGAAGCCUUGCUGGAGAAACUUCCUUUCAGAUAGCAGUGACCACUGGGGUGACUCAAAAGCCACCAUAGUGCUGAGAAGAAAUGACAGUGGUGUGUUCAGCACCAAGACACCUCUUUCAUACUCUCCAAAAAC